CAGUAUAAAAGCAAAGGAUUUAAUCUCUGCAUCCCAGAAGCUGGAGCUGGUAGAGAAGAGUACAUUGUGCUGUAACAUCUGUCAGACAGAAAGGGUGACUAGAACAUGGUGACAUUAUGGUAGAACCUGAGAGAAAGCUUCGGGCUCUCCAUCCAGAGCCAGCUUGUGGAGAAGAAACAAUUGUGGUGUAGAGUCUUGUGAGCAUGUUACCUGGGCCAGAGUGACAAGAUCAUGUGGGACACAAUAGGUAGUAGCACAUGCCUUUGAUAUCAGCACAUGGGAGGCAGAGGCAGGCGGAUCUCUGCGUUUGAGGCCAGCCUUCUGUACAGAGAAAGUUCCAGUACAGCCAGGACUACACAGAGAAACUCCAUAAAAAUCCCUCCCUGCCAAAACUCCAUAUUUCAACAUUGGUAUGAGACAUACUCAGGAAUCUUCUUCUGACUGGGAUUUAAAGCAGGUCUCAUCACUGAAGGCCUCCCAAAUCUGCAGAGUCUGGGUCAUUGGCUCUGCACACAUAGCCACAGCCAGUACAACAGCAGCAUCCAGUCCCUUGUUGUUACCUUUGAGGAAGCUGGGGCUUCUAAGGAGUGUGGGUGAGGAGUUACUUAUAGACGGAAGAACCACUGAGGGGCAGCUGUGUCCCUGAAAGUCCAUCCAAACAUGGGCAAUGGCAACAAAAUCUGAAAACCUGAAGCUCAGUGAACAACUUGCUUAUAUAAUCUUGGUGAGGGGAGUGCCUUGUGCAUCUGGUCAGUUUUAAAGACUUCCAGAGACUGCUGAAUUGUUUACUUUUGAGUCUCAAGGAGCCUGACUUUAGAAUUUCCUGAGUCUUAACAAGCCCCGUUUAGAAAUUCCUGGGUCUUAAUGAGCUGUGGAGGAAUUGCUAUACAACGCCAUCAGGGCUGGCGUCCACAGGGAGUGCAGCAGGCAGCACUAUUCUUUAGAACACCCUGCUUCUACUCCACAUAGCCUGUUGUGUUUAUGAUUGCCAUAUUUAACUCAACUCGCUACAAUAUCACUUCUACAAAACAAUUCUUGUUAUUGGUUGCAGUGUGUUGUAUUAUUUUGCUUAGCUGAAAUCUGGAUUCUACUGGAAAUGAAGUAUUUAUACGUUACAUCUGACCACUCUAGGACUCUCAAGAAAAAAAAAAACUAAGAGAAGUAUUGCAAUGGGAGACCCAUGCAAAACUAGUAGAUGAGAUUAACAAUACAGACAAAACAUUGCCAUCGUUAAUGGAAACUGUUGAUUUUAUGUGUUAACUGAUUGAAUCAAGGUAAUCCAUUGUUUCUGGGGAUGUCUGUGAAGAUUUUCCUGGAAAAGAUUAGUGUUUGACUCAGUAGACAAUUGAAUAAAGGAGAUCUGCCUUCAGCAGUGUGAUCAGAAGCAUCAAGCCAACUGAAGGGCCCAGACAGAAGAAAAGCAUGGAAGAACUGUGCGCUGACACUCUACACUAGAGCCAGAAUGUUCUUAUGGAAUGGGUGAUGGUGACUCUCCAUGGAAAAUGCAGGGUGUCUGAGUAUCUAGAGAAAAGACAGGCAGUUUCAUUCCAGAAAGGCUUGUGCUGGGCUCAGCUAAUUCAGAUAAGAAAACUGACCCAGGACCUCCUUUCCUAUUGCACAAACCAACACAGAGGCCCUGUAUGCACAAAUUCACAGCUUCUCUACCAGGCUUUUACACUACCAGUGGGAAUUUUUCCACUGUAAACAUAGUGGGGCCUGCUACCACAUACCUCAGGGAAGUCUGCAGAUUCCAGAGCUUUCUGAAAUUCUUCAGAGUGCUGGAUUCUAAGCCCAUUUGUCACUUUGCAUGGGAGGAAUAAUGAAGGCUCCUACCGUGUUUGCCCCCUGCUUUUUCUUGAUCUCCUCUGCUGCCUCCUCUUGUAGAGCUGUGUGGCAAGAGAAGCUACUCAUCUUAACAGCUGUGAGGAAUGGACUCUUUCCAUUGCAAUGGCCACCUGAUCACUUACCCUCACCAUGCAGGAGCAGAAAUGGAAGGCACAUUGUGAGCACGCAGUUUCAAUUACUAAGGUGACCAUCUCGAGCAUAUGUGCAUGAAAAAUCAUGCACAAGAAUGGUCACAUGACAUAGCGACUCAUAUCAAAGCAGUCCCAGAUGACCUAACUCGAGAAGCCCCAGAAAUACUUUCCAGAAUGAAAAGUGGCCGUCUGCAUAUUAAUCUAUGGGUUCUUUGACAGCUACAUACAUGCCAACACUCAGUUGCUUUGCAUAAUACUCUCUAACCAUCCGCAUAUGCCAGAAUCCUAAGGGCACUGAUCUCCCUGAGUGCAUGAGUGUGUGCCCCCCCACCCUACACCUCCCUCUGUUGACCCAACCUUGCCAAUUGACAAACUCCCUCUCGAGUCUUGCAACUCGUAUUUUGAUCACCAGAUGGCGCCUGACUAUUUUCAAAAUGCUAGUUUUUAACUCUAAAAAGGUAUACUUUUUGUGAACAGAAACAAAAAUACUUCUCAAAACCAGUAAUAAAAAAUUAAGUACCAACUUAA